UAGAGUGAGCAGGGCAUGUGAGUGCAAUUGUGUAGGCCUAUUCGUUUGCAAUGCACUUGGAAUGCACUUGGCAAAGCAAGCGAAUUCAAAGCAUUUUGAAAAUUAUUCACUUCCUGCUGCCAGUUUGUGGUGCUAUAAUGUUGACUCUUAAUAGUCACAUACAUACGAUCAGUAUCAUACAACGAACAAACCGAUGAAGCUUGAUGAAACUCAGGCAAUGUAUGUGGAUGUUAUUAGGCAUUUCCUGUUUCUCAUUUUUUGCCCUAAUUUCAAAGCCUCACCAUGGGCAAACCAUUCGAGAUAUCAAAAAUCCCCUCGCAAAUUUUCAUCUUCAAUGUCUUGAGAUCAUGUUCACCGUUUUUUUGUGGCAAAUGGGUGGAAAACCUCAGAGUAGUAUUUUAAAUUCCAGAGCAUGCUUUUUUUAAACAUCCCUGAAUAGCUGACUUCCUGUUGGGCGGAGCCUAUCACAUAGAGCGCGAAAGUUGUUUGGCUCAAUGAGAUCUAUAAGUGUACUGAGUUUCAUAUAAAUACAUCCAAGUGUGUGUGAGCUGUGGUUCAAGAUUUCUGACUGUGUUCCAGGGGGCGAUGUAGAGCCCCUGUGCCACGCCCGGUUGCCAGCCUCUGCGGCGUCCUAAUGAACGCAUUAUCUUCAGCUGGCAUGUUCCCGUGACAACGCAGCAUGGUGUCCGUCAGCAGAUUCUGCAGCAUAACAAAUCUACGCUUCAUUUUUAUAUAUUAUUUAGCAUAUUUAAAAAACUUUUUAGAAUACAAAAUGUAUGUUUAUUUGCCACAGUUAUGCUAACAACAAUAAAAACAUUUAUGACAGUAAACCUGCACAUCUGCUGACAAACACCAUGCUGAAUUGUCACAGGAACAUGCCCUCUGAAGAUAAUGAGCAAAUUACGUCGCUCACUUUGCCAAGUGCAUUACAAACGAAUACAUAAUGGCACACACGUGCCCUGCUCACUCCAAGGGGAUAGGGAUGAUCACUUCCAUUUAGAAUUUGCUUUGUGAACUGUUCUGAACUGAUACUCAUAUCGGCCAUCCCUAACUUAGGGUUUUCAGUGAUUCUUUCUGAAGGUUAUAUCGUUAUACCAGUAAGUGGCAUUAUUGAAUAAUUGAAUCAAGAAUUCAUCAGCAAAGCCAGAUCCUUCAGCCCAACCUACUCGUUCACAAUCACCAAAGUUCUGAUUCUCCUCACCUGUCUGCACUAAUCUAAGCCACCUUCCUGUCACCACCUCAGUGUCUGGUCUUGUUGUUACUUCUUGAAGCAGCUUGCCUGAGCUGUUCUGGUCCCAUUACUGUCAGUCAUCUCCUCAGCAUUUGGAUUCCCCAUGAACCUUCAAAUCAAGGACAGUGUUACUGCUCUGACCAGACCCAACAUGAAAAACCACACAGAGCCAAGCAGCGCUCAUGAGCCCAGAUCUAUUUGCACAGGCCUUCCAUUAAUCUUCAGCCACUCUCCACUGUUUCAGUCAGUCAAUGCAGCAGAUUCCUGCUCCAAUGCUUGCAUCUUAUCUCUGUCUUUAGAAUGCAGCUCUCUCCAAAUAUCCAACAGACCAAGUUUCUUACAAGUAUUUUGCAAACUGAGGAUUUACAACCAAAUAAAAAGUGGGGUGAGGAUUUAUCUAGACUUCCAUCAUGACAAAUAUAUGGCAAUUUGGAUCAUAGACAUUCCUACAGUGAUUGUCGUCCAAGAAGUUAACACAAAUCUUCAGAACCUGUAGGCUUGAGAAUAUAUAAAUAUAUUUAUGAAUCGGAAUUGCAGUGUCCCUCCUCUGAAGUAAAAGAGGAAAAAUAAAUCUUACCAACCCAA